UGAGGAAUAUUGCACAAUGGGGGCAACCCUGAUGCAGCGACGCCGCGUGGGUGAUGAAGGUUUUCGGAUCGUAAAGCCCUUUUCUGCAUGACGAGCACAGGACGGUAGUGCAGGAAUAAGUGUCGGCUAACUACGUGCCAGCAGCCGCGGUAAUACGUAGGGUGCAAGCGUUAAUCGGAAUUACUGGGCGUAAAGCGUGCGCAGGCGGUUGUGUAAGUCAGAUGUGAAAUCCCCGGGCUUAACCUGGGAACUGCGUUUGAAACUGGGGAGCUAGAGUGUGGAAGAGGGGGGUGGAAUUCCAGGUGUAGCAGUGAAAUGCGUAGAGAUCUGGAGGAACACCGAUGGCGAAGGCAGCCCCCUGGGCUAACACUGACGCUCAUGCACGAAAGCGUGGGGAGCAAACAGGAUUAGAUACCCCGGUAGUCCCUGAGCGGGCUGGCAAGGCGCAU
rnacentral:rRNA from 1 species